rnacentral:lncRNA from 1 species
GAAGGGAAGAAAAGAGAGAUUGCUGCUUGCAUGCAGAAAGAAAGGUUCCUGAAUAAACUGCUUUGAGAAGAACGCUGUGGUGUUGCUCCUUUCUGCGGGACGGAGACGGAGACAAAUGUGUAUGUGCAUGUAUUCCCUGAAGAAGUUUCUGUUUCCCAUAAAAGACUCUGAACUGUCGAAAUGUUUCCUAAUACAGUGGAAUUGAUAUGUACGCAACACAUCUACAGACAUCUUCCCGGCAUGGGAAGCUGCAAGGAUCCUGGCCACGUCUGUAUCUACGGCCUGUUACCUUCAAAGUAAUCUUCUGGCUGCCUUAGAACUAAAAUUAACACUCAUAACCUAGAGAAGUGAGUGGCACAUGGAGAUUCAGAGGACAGUGUUAGUUUAGAGGUAGAGAAGCAGGAAAAGCCAAAUAAACGCUACCUAAAUCACAAAGGAAAUGGAGCAAGAGACUCCAGAGAAGGUGGACUCUGCACAGGAGAAGGUCAGAGGCAAGUCCCAGCCAGCAGAUGACUCGGAGGACAGCCGAGAAAAGGCUGGGACAGAAGGGACGGGAGAACUGACCGAAGCCUAUGAGCUGCAGGUAGCUGAAGAAAUGGCAAAAGAGAUCAAGAAGAAAAUAAGAAGGAAGCUAAAGGAGCAGCUGACCUACUUUCCUCCAGACACUCUGCUGCAUGACGACAAGCUGGGCAGUG